CAGGAUUCAAGCCCAGGGAUCUUUAACCAGUAGGAAUCUUACUAUACCAUGUAUAGUAUAAUGCUUUACAUAUAUUUUAACCUCCUUCUAGUUUGUAAGUUCCAUAAGAGGAGGCUUGAUUUUUUUUUUUUUCUUUUGAGACGGAGGUCUUACUCUGUCACGCAGGCUGGCUGGAGUGCAGUGGCGUGAUCUCGGCUCACUGCAAGCUCUGCCUCCUGGGUUCAUGCCAUUCUCCUGCCUCAAGAGGAGGCUUGAUUCUAAUUCUCCCUUUUUUCUGCAUCAUUGAGCAUGUGUAUUAUCCGUAACAGGCUUUUAGGUGCUGGAUAAAUGAGUGAAUAUUGAUUGUGAUUGAAUUUCUCUUUUCCCCAUAUGUUUACUCUUAAAUAUAUUCCUUUAGAACCUUGCUAUUCAGAGUGUAGUCCCCAAACCAGCAGCACAGGCAUCACCUGGGACCCUAUGAGGAAUUCAGAACCUCAGACCCCACCCAAGACCUGCUGAAUGACAAUCUGCAUUUUAACACAUUUCUCAGAUGAUUUGUAUGCACAUUAAAGUUUGAAAAGCAUUCUUUAAAGCACGUGGUUAAAUUUAACAAACUUAAUCCACUAUUUCCACAUGGUUCUCUCACCUACCGACAUACUUGAGCACCUUGGUUCUGGCCUCUUCAAGUUUAUUCUAGGUCUAAGGUUCUGUGAAUUGGCCAGUUCCACAAAAGCUGUUCCUUUUAUGAGCACUUGUUUCAAUAUGACAAGAGCAAGAUUAUUCAAGGGAAGCAUUAGUGGGUAGUGGGUAGCUAGUACUUUUUUUUUUUUCUUUUGCUUCAAAGUUCUCAACAGCAAGUACACAAGAAGCUCCCCUGUCCCUGGACACACACACAGACUGCACUUCAGUGGACUGCACUGCAGGUGAGCUGGGAAGCCGCAGCCCAGGUGGAGAAAAGACUAGCAGCCUGUCCCUGGCACAGGGAAGGAAGCUGCUCAUCAUGGUGACAUAAAAUAAAGCUUCUAAAGUUGCUCAUCAUGGUGACAUAAAAUAAAGCUUCUAAAGUAGCUCAUAUGUCUCGACCAUCAGGAGAGUUUUAUAACAACACAUCUCAUCUUGCCACUCUCAUCUCUAGACUCUGCGGCACCUGGCUGUGAAAACUUUUAAAUAAAGGAAGCAUUGAUAUGGUGCAUCCAAGGCAAUGCUUUUGAGAGAAUCUAAAGAGCAGUUUGUGAUCCCAAGAUCAGGGCAUCUCUUUUUAAGAGCUGAUAUUACCAUAUGAAUAAUAAAAAGAAAGUACUCCCUUAGCAUAAAAGAAGAUGAGAUCACUGCGGAUCCCCACUUCGGAAGCUGGUCUCCAACUCCUGGCCUCAAGCAAUCCCUCUGCCUCUGUCGCCCAAAGCACUGGGAUUGUAGACUUGAGUAACA
rnacentral:lncRNA from 10 species